CCUUAAUGCAAUAUCCGGUGCUGUGAGGGGCUUGACCCCAUAUCUCACCAUCAAUCAGACCAAAUAUUUUUUCUAAAGUUUCAACCUUACUAACAUGAUUCUCAUCCCAUCCUCCUCCUUUGCCAACACCAUGUCAUCCGCAUAUAACAGCGAAUAAAUUUUCUCUCCUUCUAGCUUGACCCCAUAGCUCACCGUCGAUCAAACCAAAUAUUUUUUCUAAAGUUUCAACCUUACUAACAUGAUUCUCAUCCUAUCCUCCUCUUCCACCAACACCAUGUCAUCCGCAUAUAACAGCGAAUAAAUUUUCUCUCCUUCUAGCUUGACCCCAUACCUCACCAUCGAUCAGACCAAAUAUUUUUUCUAAAAUUUCAACCUAACUUGAUUCUCAUCCCAUCCUCCUCCUCUGCCAACACCAUGUCAUCCGUAUAUAACAUAAAUAAAUAAAUUUUCUCUCCUUCUAGUUUGACUCCAUACCUCAUCAUCAAUCAGACCAAAUAUUUUUUCUAAAGUUUCAAACUUACUAACAUGAUUCUCAUCCCUUGAGACUUAAAGACGUCUUUAAGAUGACGUCUAAAAAAUGACGUCCUAUACACAUAAAUGUAUGUGUG